UACGUAGGGUGCAAGCGUUAUCCGGAAUUACUGGGCGUAAAGAGCUCGUAGGUGGUUUGUCGCGUUGUCCGUGAAAAACUCACAACUCAAUUGUGGGCGUGCGGGCGAUACGGGCAGACUGGAGUACUGCAGGGGAGACUGGAAUUCCUGGUGUAGCGGUGGAAUGCGCAGAUAUCAGGAGGAACACCGGUGGCGAAGGCGGGUCUCUGGGCCGAUACUGACGCUGAGGAGCGAAAGCGUGGGGAGCGAACAGG
rnacentral:rRNA from 1 species